rnacentral:snoRNA from 1 species
UCGCACUGUUCGUAACCUCUUGACAGCAUCUUUCUGUGAAUAGGUUCCAUUCCAGUGCUACAGGAAAUCCAAUAAUGGGAGGCUGACAAAUUCCAUGUCCCUCCUGUAUUUGGAGACAAAA